rnacentral:snRNA from 1 species
GUGCUUGCCUUGGCAGCAUAUAUACUAAAAUUGCAACGAUACAGAGAAGAUUAGCAUGGCCCCUGCGCAAGGAUGAUACACAAAUUUGUGAACCAUUCCAUAUUUAA